UGUCAGCAACAACUAGUGCAACAACUUCUCCUACUACAUCAGCCACUACAUCAGUAACCACAUCGCCUACCACGUCGGCAACCACAUCGGCAACAACGUCUCCCACAACCUCGCCCACCACUUCACCUACCACAUCAGCCACAACUUCGCCAACAACCUCGGUGACUACUUCAGCGACCACGUCUGCAACUACAUCGCCAACCACGUCGCCUACCACGUCAGCAACAACUAGUGCAACAACUUCUCCUACUACAUCAGCCACUACAUCAGUAACCACAUCGCCUACCACGUCGGCAACCACAUCGGCAACAACGUCUCCCACAACCUCGCCCACCACUUCACCUACCACAUCAGCCACAACUUCGCCAACAACAUCGGUGACUACUUCAGCGACCA